AUUGAACGCUGGCGGCAGGCCUAACACAUGCCAGUCGAGCGGAUGAAGGGAGCUUGCUCCUGGAUUCAGCGGCGGACGGGUGAGUAAUGCCUAGGAAUCUGCCUGGUAGUGGGGGAUAACGUCCGGAAACGGGCGCUAAUACCGCAUACGUCCUGAGGGAGAAAGUGGGGGAUCUUCGGACCUCACGCUAUCAGAUGAGCCUAGGUCGGAUUAGCUAGUUGGUGGGGUAAAGGCCUACCAAGGCGACGAUCCGUAACUGGUCUGAGAGGAUGAUCAGUCACACUAGAACUGAGACACGGUCCAGACUCCUACGCGAGGCAGCAGUGGGGAAUAUUGGACAAUGGGCGAAAGCCUGAUCCAGCCCUGCCGCGUGUGUGAAGAAGGUCUUCGGAUUGUAAAGCACUUUAAGUUGGGAGGAAGGGCAGUAAGUUAAUACCUUGCUGUUUUGACGUUACCAACAGAAUAAGCACCGGCUAACUUCGUG
rnacentral:rRNA from 1 species